CCCUUAGAUGUUCUGGGCCGCACGCGCGCUACACUGAUGCAUUCAACGAGUCUAAAACCUGGUCUGAUAGGGCUGGGUAAUCUUUUGAAUGUGCAUCGUGAUUGGGAUAGAUGAUUGCAAUUCUUCAUCUUCAACGAGGAAUGCCUAGUAAACGCAAGUCAUCAGCUUGCAUUGAUUACGUCCCUGCCCUUUGUACACACCGCCCGUCGCUCCUACCGAUUGAAUGGUCCGGUGAAGUGUUCGGAUCGAGGCGACAUGGGCGGUUCGCUGCCUGUGACGUUGCGAGAAGUCCACUGAACCUUAUCAUUUAGAGGAAGGAGAAGUCGUAACA
rnacentral:rRNA from 1 species